GACAGCUUUCCUUUCGUGGAGCAUGGAGUGGUUAAGCUUGGCCUUUCACCAUGCAAACACAUUUUCCUCAAGGCCCUGUACCUGCAAGUGGCAGCCUCUCUGUCUGCUCCCUCAGUGACACAGAGCAUCUAUGGUGACGUGGGACUGUGGCAGCGAUGUGGGGGAAUACCUCAGCAGUUCAAACCUUCGUCUCUCUGUAAGGACAACAAAAUGGCAAAAAAGAAGAGCCCCAAGUGUGAAACUAGCCUUGAGACUUCUCUAAUUCCUGCAUGAGAAAGCAGCAGGGAUCUUGCAAAGCAGUCAUUCAUCUCUAACAGCACUCCUAUAUCCAAGGCAGCAAGCAGAGCCUGGAAAGGGCUUUUUUCCGCAGUAACACAAGUCACAAGAAAUCUGGGCAGUGUGCAAACAACAUCAAGAGCAGGGCAGGACCUUUUCCCCAGCCCAGCCUUCGCUGUCACAUGGAGGAGGAGGCACAGACAUCUGGUGACCCAAACAAUUGCUUAAUGUGGCUCCCCAGAGAAGUGUCAGCAAGUGUAUGGACAGGAACUGGCAAACAGUUCCACCAGACCAUGCUGGCCUAGUACAUCAUGGAAAAAGUGAAGAAUGAUUUAAGCUGGAUGUGUUUUCUGUACCCAUGGGCCUCCUGGCAGAUGCACAGGAAUAACCAUAGCUACCAAACAGAACAUCAUUUUGCUAUGGAUGCUGCAAAUCACACAUGUGACUCCUCUCUCCUUACCCUGUUAUGGAGAGACAACAAUUUUCUGUGUUUCAACAAGAAUUUGAUUUGACAAUCUCCAAUUACACAAAUAUGCAAAAAUAUAUUUGCCGGCAGACUUUUGUUUGAAAAAAUUCAGCACUUUAAUUACAUAGAUGCCAUAACUCCCUAUUUUUACAGAAUAUGAUUACUGCAAUUUCUUCAUUAGGGAAUAGUUUCACUAUUUAAGAAAAUGUUAUUUAAGAGGUGUGGUGUUAUCUGUUUAUCCCACACUGUUAACACCCCAGGAAAACAUAAGCAAACACUUGAAUACUUUCCUCCUAGCAACCAAGUUCUCUCACAUCUGAAAAGCAGCAUACUUGUCUUUUUCUGUACCUUGUAUUGAGCCAAAUUUCUAGUUUGUAACCUUUUGGCCAUUUAAUAACCAUCAGAUUCUUUGAAUAUAAUUUUAGGUGAAAGUCUAAACCAGUGACUAUAGUCACAGGGCCAGAUUUUCAGACUUUUAUUUAUCCCUUACUUCCACUGAUGGAAAUACUGCAAAAUUAAUCUUAGGAACUAAGCUUCUUUACAUUUACUAACCUGCUGCAUGACUUAACUCUUCAAAUUACCAGGAGCUUUUUCAAUGUGCUGAGUUUCUGCAAAUCCCACUAUGGUGAGUCUAAAACGCAGACACUGAAUAUUGCCUUGGGAUCUCACUCUGUCUUUCAAGGCUGGGAUAAUGGUGCUGGUUUUACUGAAGAAACUGGAGGGUUUGGAUCUCUUGAAACCUUUGCAGGAUAUUUGGGACCCAACACCCCCCUCCCCCCCCCCCCCCCCCCAAAAAAAAAAAAAAAGAAGCAAAUACACUAUCAGAAUCCUGUCCUUGUCUGCUUUCUUGUUUUCUUACAUAAGGGUAAGUUCUCCUUUCUCUCUUUUCUUAUCUAAGGGAGACAUGGUCUCCUUGCUAACUCUUCAAGAAAAACAGAGGAACACCUGGAAAAUCUGUCUUCCAAGGAAAAGAUGAAAGAUUCAGCUAAGUGAGAGGAUGUGUCCUUCUCAGCACUGACAGUAUGGUCAAAGAGACAGCUCCCCUGACUUUUCCCUGAAGAGUUCACAGAGAACUGUCCAGAAGAGCGCCCGCUCUCCCGGCAGCUCUGCGAGCAGCAGGAAUCACUGCAGCACUCUGGGCUGCUGCUGCCGUGUCAUUCCAGUGCCUCUGGGGUCACCUGAGUGCAUUAAAUUAACACUGUUCCCAGGCAAAGCAAAAUGUCUGGCAACAGGAUGGUGCAGCAUAAUAAUGGGAUAGGAGGGGUAGCUACACACCUAAAUAUGAAAUGGUUGAAAGGAGAGAGGAGCGCCGAUUCUGAGCGAUGUGACUUAGUGCCAAAUGCACAUUCUCACACAGAUCUCCCAGCAGAUUAUGUGUCUCUUCACCACCACUUAACAUUUUUAUAGCUUAUUUCAGAAUUUUUGCAUUUAUUUCACAUGUAAUAAUUUAUUUAUGAGUUUAAGAUUAUUAAAAACUUGAAGCUUCAUUACAAACUAUCCUGAGGGAAUCUCACCUGCCUCAUCCUAUUACAUUAUUAUUACCAAGUGUCUAAUUUAUAUUUAAUCAGACAUCAAUUGAACAUCAAUAAAAUAAUAAUGAAUUAAUAAGCUAUAUCUUAAUAAUGAAUUAAUAAGCUAUAUCUUCCUAGAAAUACUUGUAGCUUAAGUAUGUAAGCAAAGGCAGUGCACUGUCUGUGGGUCAGCUAUCAAAUCUCUCAGACUAUUUGACAGAACAAUUUAGUAUUUAGAAUAUGAUAAUAAGCCAUAAAAAUAGUUAAUUGCUAUGGUCUUCAGCUAAUUCUUAUGAUAAUUAUGACCCAUACCAACCUGUGAAUCUGAGCUGAGAUAUGACACAGAGUUCCAUGUAAGACAGUCAUUUCCAAACACUGUAAAUGCCUAAGGGACUCAAUGUUCCCACAAAAUGAAAUGAGAAAAAGAAUUUU